rnacentral:rRNA from 1 species
AGAGUUUGAUCAUGGCUCAGAACGAACGUUGGCGGCGUGCUUAACACAUGCAAGUCGAACGAGAAAGUUCCUUCGGGAAUGAGUAAAGUGGCGCACGGGUGAGUAACGCGUAAGUAAUCUACCCUUGCAUCUGGAAUAACUACGGGAAGCUGUAGCUAAUACCGGAUACGUUCUCUAUUUUACGGAAUAGAGAAGAAAGAUGACCUCUUCUUGAAAGUUAUCGUGCAGGGAGGAGCUUGCGUACCAUUAGCUAGUUGGUAGGGUAAUGGCCUACCAAGGCAACGAUGGUUAGCGGGUCUGAGAGGAUGAUCCGCCACACUGGAACUGGAACACGGACCAGACUCCUACGGGAGGCAGCAGUGAGGAAUAUUGCGCAAUGGGGGAAACCCUGACGCAGCGACGCCGCGUGGAUGAUGAAGGCCUUAGGGUCGUAAAAUCCUGUCAGAUGGGAAGAAAUGUAUGGGGGAAUAAUACCCCUUGUAUUUGACGGUACCAUCAAAGGAAGCACCGGCUAACUCCGUGCCAGCAGCCGCGGUAAUACGGAGGGUGCAAACGUUGUUCGGAAUUACUGGGCGUAAAGCGCGCGUAGGCGGUUUGUUAAGUCAGAUGUGAAAGCCCAAGGCUCAACCUUGGACGUGCAUUUGAAACUGGCAGACUUGAGUACUGGAGGGGAUGGUGGAAUUCCCGGUGUAGAGGUGAAAUUCGUAGAUAUCGGGAGGAAUACCGGUGGCGAAGGCGACCAUCUGGCCAGAUACUGACGCUGAGGUGCGAAAGCAUGGGGAGCAAACAGGAUUAGAUACCCUGGUAGUCCAUGCCGUAAACGAUGUCAACCAGGUGUUGGGGCGGUUAAUCGUCUCAUUGCCGGAGCUAACGCAUUAAGUUGACCGCCUGGGGAGUACGGUCGCAAGAUUAAACUCAAAGGAAUUGAC